GACGAACGCUGGCUGCGUGCUUAACACAUGCAAGUCGAACGCUGAAGCCUGGUGCUUGCACCGGGUGGAUGAGUGGCGAACGGGUGAGUAACACGUGAGUAACCUGCCCCCUGACUUCGGGGAUAAGCCCGGGAAACUGGGUCUAAUACCGGAUACGACUGCCGGACGCAUGUCUGGUGGUGGAAAGUUUUUCGGUUGGGGAUGGGCUCGCGGCCUAUCAGUUUGUUGGUGAGGUAAUGGCUCACCAAGACGACGACGGGUAGCCGGCCUGAGAGGGCGACCGGCCACACUGGGACUGAGACACGGCCCAGACUCCUACGGGAGGCAGCAGUGGGGAAUAUUGCACAAUGGGGAAAACCCUGAUGCAGCGACGCAGCGUGCGGGAUGACGGCCUUCGGGUUGUAAACCGCUUUCAGCAGGGAAGAAGCGCAAGUGACGGUACCUGCAGAAGAAGUACCGGCUAACUACGUG
rnacentral:rRNA from 1 species